ACUUAACCUAAGGCUUCUUAUUAUUUUUGUUCCUUGCAUAGUUAGCUUAUUAGCUGAGAUGUUUAACAGAAUAGAUCCUGAUUACUUUUCAAAUAAACUUCUUGACUUAGCUGUUUGGGAAGUGUGCUAUAUGUUCUCUAGAAGAUGUGAGCACACUAAAGCCUGGGAAGGUAAAAAAUAGUGGAUAUGCAAGAUCAAGUGGUGGCAGAGACAUUGAGAGAGUCGAUGUUUCUGUUGAUGGAGGAAAAAGCUGGAUUGAAUCCUCAAGAUGUCAGAAAAGUGGUGUCCAAUACAUAGUCGAUGUUUCUUUGGAUGGACUUGGAG